CAUGCAGUCGACGGUGAAGCCAAGCUUGCUUGGUGGAUCAGUGGCGAACGGGUGAGUAACACGUGAGCAACCUGCCCUGGACUCUGGGAUAAGCGCUGGAAACGGCGUCUAAUACUGGAUAUGAGACGUGAUCGCAUGGUCGUGUUUGGAAAGAUUUUUCGGUCUGGGAUGGGCUCGCGGCCUAUCAGCUUGUUGGUGAGGUAAUGGCUCACCAAGGCGUCGACGGGUAGCCGGCCUGAGAGGGUGACCGGCCACACUGGGACUGAGACACGGCCCAGACUCCUACGGGAGGCAGCAGUGGGGAAUAUUGCACAAUGGGCGGAAGCCUGAUGCAGCAACGCCGCGUGAGGGAUGACGGCCUUCGGGUUGUAAACCUCUUUUAGCAGGGAAGAAGCGAAAGUGACGGUACCUGCAGAAAAAGCGCCGGCUAACUACGUGCCAGCAGCCGCGGUAAUACGUAGGGCGCAAGCGUUAUCCGGAAUUAUUGGGCGUAAAGAGCUCGUAGGCGGUUUGUCGCGUCUGCUGUGAAAUCCCGAGGCUCAACCUCGGGCCUGCAGUGGGUACGGGCAGACUAGAGUGCGGUAGGGGAGAUUGGAAUUCCUGGUGUAGCGGUGGAAUGCGCAGAUAUCAGGAGGAACACCGAUGGCGAAGGCAGAUCUCUGGGCCGUAACUGACGCUGAGGAGCGAAAGGGUGGGGAGCAAACAGGCUUAGAUACCCUGGUAGUCCACCCCGUAAACGUUGGGAACUAGUUGUGGGGACCAUUCCACGGUUUCCGUGACGCAGCUAACGCAUUAAGUUCCCCGCCUGGGGAGUACGGCCGCAAGGCUAAAACUCAAAGGAAUUGACGGGGACCCGCACAAGCGGCGGAGCAUGCGGAUUAAUUCGAUGCAACGCGAAGAACCUUACCAAGGCUUGACAUAUACGAGAACGGGCCAGAAAUGGUCAACUCUUUGGACACUCGUAAACAGGUGGUGCAUGGUUGUCGUCAGCUCGUGUCGUGAGAUGUUGGGUUAAGUCCCGCAACGAGCGCAACCCUCGUUCUAUGUUGCCAGCACGUAAUGGUGGGAACUCAUGGGAUACUGCCGGGGUCAACUCGGAGGAAGGUGGGGAUGACGUCAAAUCAUCAUGCCCCUUAUGUCUUGGGCUUCACGCAUGCUACAAUGGCCGGUACAAAGGGCUGCAAUACCGUGAGGUGGAGCGAAUCCCAAAAAGCCGGUCCCAGUUCGGAUUGAGGUCUGCAACUCGACCUCAUGAAGUCGGAGUCGCUAGUAAUCGCAGAUCAGCAACGCUGCGGUGAAUACGUUCCCGGGUCUUGUACACACCGCCCGUCAAGUCAUGAAAGUCGGUAACACCUGAAGCCGGUGGCCCAACCCUUGUGGAGGGAGCCGUCGAAGGUGAU
rnacentral:rRNA from 1 species